rnacentral:lncRNA from 1 species
GUUUUGUCCAGGCUGCAAGGUUUCCUAUAACGUCAGUUGUAAAUAAGGAGAGCUAAACCAGUUUACAGUAUUUUUCGCACUAUAAGUCAAACGAGGGCUGGAUGUUAAUCUACACAGAUUUCUCUUCUGAAAACUGUUUAUUUGGCCCACAGAGAAAAUGGAGGAUAUCCAUAUCCUGAAAUCGUUUGAACAGGAAUCUGGCCGUCCAGAUAGCCAUUUCUGCACCCAGCCUUCUCCUGCUGUCCUUUGAAGAGGAAAAGGUUGCCUACACAUCAUUUCAUCACACCAGUCUGGGCCUCUUCGAGAUGUCAGCAGCUCCUAAUUUGUGCGUCACGUUUCAGAGCGAAGGACGUUCACGCAGUGGCAGCUUCGGAAUUGACAAUUAUUCUUGUUUUCAUAUGGAGAGGCAUCAGUGAACCCACAGCGCGGUGUCACGACUCAUGCUAAUCAGCAUUUUGUAAAUCUUAGUCUGAACGGGAAACUAGGAAUGCUUAACUAAUCCAAGACCAAUCCUAACGUGAGCGCCUCAAAGCAUAUUACACGGCUAAAGCCAGACUUAUCAGCAGUGAGUGGCUCUACAGGAUUCUCUACACACGUGCAUUUCAAAAAAAAAAAAAAUCCAAAAAAGAAACAAAGGAAUGAGGCAGUAAAGCAUGCUCUGCCUGAGGAUCAUAAGUUACAGGUGCAUCUUUUAAAAAUGUAAUAUCUUUAAAAAGUUUCUUUAUUUCAGUAAUUCAUUUCAAA